rnacentral:rRNA from 1 species
CUACAGAGGGUGCGAGCGUUAAUCGGAAUUACUGGGCGUAAAGCGCGCGUAGGCGGCUUGGUCAGUCGGAUGUGAAAGCCCCGGGCUCAACCUGGGAAUGGCAUUCGAUACUGCCAGGCUAGAGUAUGGGAGAGGGAAGUGGAAUUUCCGGUGUAGCGGUGAAAUGCGUAGAUAUCGGAAGGAACACCAGUGGCGAAGGCGACUUCCUGGCCCAAUACUGACGCUGAGGUGCGAAAGCGUGGGGAGCGAACAGGAUUAGAUACCCUAGUAGUCC